rnacentral:rRNA from 1 species
UACAGAGACUGCAAGCGUUAUUCGGAUUCACUGGGCGUAAAGGGUGCGCAGGUGGCCAAGUGUGUUAGGCGUGAAAGCCCGGGGCUUAACCCCGGAAUUGCACCUAAAACUACUUGGCUAGAGCAUUGGAGAGGGGAGCAGGAAUUCAUGGUGUAGCAGUGAAAUGCGUAGAUAUCAUGAGGAAUACCAGAGGCGAAGGCGGCUCCCUGGACAAUUGCUGACACUCGAGGCACGAAAGCGUGGGGAGCAAAAGGG